UAAUGCCUAGGAAUCUGCCUGGUAGUGGGGGAUAACGUUCGGAAACGAACGCUAAUACCGCAUACGUCCUACGGGAGAAAGCAGGGGACCUUCGGGCCUUGCGCUAUCAGAUGAGCCUAGGUCGGAUUAGCUAGUUGGUGAGGUAAUGGCUCACCAAGGCUACGAUCCGUAACUGGUCUGAGAGGAUGAUCAGUCACACUGGAACUGAGACACGGUCCAGACUCCUACGGGAGGCAGCAGUGGGGAAUAUUGGACAAUGGGCGAAAGCCUGAUCCAGCCAUGCCGCGUGUGUGAAGAAGGUCUUCGGAUUGUAAAGCACUUUAAGUUGGGAGGAAGGGCAGUUACCUAAUACGUGAUUGUUUUGACGUUACCGACAGAAUAAGCACCGGCUAACUCUGUG
rnacentral:rRNA from 1 species